UACAGAGGGUGCGAGCGUUAAUCGGAAUUACUGGGCGUAAAGCGCACGUAGGCGGCUUGGUAUGUCGGGCGUGAAAUCCCCGGGCUCAACCUGGGAACUGCAUCCGAAACUGCCUUGCUCGAGUAUGGGAGAGGGGAGUGGAAUUUCCGGUGUAGCGGUGAAAUGCGUAGAUAUCGGAAGGAACAUCAGUGGCGAAGGCGACUUCCUGGACCAAUACUGACGCUCAGGUGCGAAAGCGUGGGGAGCAAACAGG
rnacentral:rRNA from 1 species